rnacentral:rRNA from 1 species
UACGAGGGGAGCAAGCGUUGUUCGGAUUUACUGGGCGUAAAGGGCGCGUAGGCGGCGUGACUAGUCACUUGUGAAAUCUCCGGGCUUAACUCGGAACGGUCAAGUGAUACUGUCGUGCUAGAGUACAGAAGGGGCAACUGGAAUUCCCGGUGUAGCGGUGAAAUGCGCAGAUAUCGGGAGGAACACCAAUGGCGAAGGCAGCUCGCUGGGACGGUACUGACGCUGAGGCGCGAAAGCGUGGGGAGCAAACAGG